rnacentral:rRNA from 1 species
GUCUACAGCCAUGCUACCCUGAACAAGCCUGAUCUCGUCUGAUCUCGGAAGCUAAGCAGGGUCGGGCCUGGCUAGUACUUGGAUGGGAGACCACCUAGGAAGACCACCAGGUGCUGUAGGCG